GAUGAACGCUGGCGGCGUGCCUAAUACAUGCAAGUCGAGCGAACAGACGAGGAGCUUGCUCCUCUGACGUUAGCGGCGGACGGGUGAGUAACACGUGGAUAACCUACCUAUAAGACUGGGAUAACUUCGGGAAACCGGAGCUAAUACCGGAUAAUAUAUUGAACCGCAUGGUUCAAUAGUGAAAGACGGUUUUGCUGUCACUUAUAGAUGGAUCCGCGCCGCAUUAGCUAGUUGGUAAGGUAACGGCUUACCAAGGCAACGAUGCGUAGCCGACCUGAGAGGGUGAUCGGCCACACUGGAACUGAGACACGGUCCAGACUCCUACGGGAGGCAGCAGUAGGGAAUCUUCCGCGAUGGGCGAAAGCCUGACGGAGCAACGCCGCGUGAGUGAUGAAAGUCUUCGGAUCGUAAAACUCUGUUAUUAGGGAAGAACAAAUGUGUAAGUAACUAUGCACGUCUUGACGGUACCUAAUCAGAAAGCCACGGCUAACUACGUG
rnacentral:rRNA from 1 species